AUUGAACGCUGGCGGCAUGCCUUACACAUGCAAGUCGAACGGCAGCACGGGGCAACCUGGUGGCGAGUGGCGAACGGGUGAGUAAUGCAUCGGAACGUGCCAUUGAGUGGGGGAUAACGUAGCGAAAGUUGCGCUAAUACCGCAUAUUCUGUGAGCAGGAAAGCAGGGGACCGCAAGGCCUUGCGCUCUUUGAGCGGCCGAUGUCAGAUUAGCUAGUUGGUGAGGUAACGGCUUACCAAGGCGACGAUCUGUAGCGGGUCUGAGAGGAUGAUCCGCCACACUGGAACUGAGACACGGUCCCGACUCCUACGGGGGGCAGCAGUGAGGAAUAUUGGGCAAUGGGCGAAAGCCUGACCCAGCAACGCCGCGUGGAGGAUGAAGGCUUUAGGGUUGUAAACUCCUUUUGUGGGGAAAAGAAUGGAUGGUACCCCAAGAAUAAGUCACGGCUAACUACGUGCCAGCAGCCGCGGUAAGGCGUA
rnacentral:rRNA from 1 species